rnacentral:rRNA from 1 species
UACGGAGGAUGCGAGCGUUAUCCGGAUUUAUUGGGUUUAAAGGGUGCGUAGGCGGGAUGCCAAGUCAGCGGUAAAAAUGCGGUGCUCAACGCCGUCGAGCCGUUGAAACUGGCGUUCUUGAGUGGGCGAGAAGUAUGCGGAAUGCGUGGUGUAGCGGUGGAAUGCAUAGAUAUCACGCAGAACUCCGAUUGCGAAGGCGGCAUACCGGCGCCCUACUGACGCUGAGGCACGAAAGCGUGGGUAUCGAACAGG